rnacentral:rRNA from 1 species
AUAACUAGUCGAAAGAUUAGCUAAUACCGAAUAAUAACAUCAAUAUCGCAUGAGAAGAUGUAGAAAGUCGCGUUUGCGACGCUUUUGGAUGGGGGUGCGACGUAUCAGAUAGUUGGUGAGGUAAUGGCUCACCAAGUCAAUGACGCGUAGCUGUACUGAGAGGUAGAACAGCCACAAUGGGACUGAGACACGGCCCAUACUCCUCGGGAGGCAGCAGGC